rnacentral:rRNA from 1 species
UACGUAGGGUGCAAGCGUUGUCCGGAAUUAUUGGGCGUAAAGAGCUCGUAGGCGGUGUGUCGCGUCGGCCGUGAAAACCUGCAGCUUAACUGUGGGCGUGCGGUCGAUACGGGCAUCACUGGAGUUCGGCAGGGGAGACUGGAAUUCCUGGUGAUAGCGGUGAAAUGCGCAGAUAUCAGGAGGAACACCGAUGGCGAAGGCAGGUCUCUGGGCAUUAAACUGACGCUGGAGGAAGCGGAAAGCCAUGGGGAGCGAACAGGA